rnacentral:rRNA from 1 species
GUCCUGAGGAUAGGCACCUCCAUCUUGGUGGGCUCUGGCGCCUCGACCUUGUUUUGGCUUGAUAGUUGGCUAGGGGACUCCCCCCUGGCCGCCCGGUUCCCCAUCCUCUUCGACAUUGUAGUUGACCCUCGGGUCUCGGUCGAGGCGGCCCUUAUUGACUUAGGGCGCCUCGCGUUUCGUCGUCCUUUUGGCCCUGCCGAGGUGGCUGCUUGGGAUGUCCUCCUCCAGGACAUCGCCCUGUUGCCUAUGGACGUGGCUGACUCUCCGGAUGCCAUCUCCUGGCGUCUGGAUUCCUCAGGCCGCUUCUCCACCAAGUCCCUUUACGCGGCUAUUGCCCCAUCAGUUGCCCCGGAGCCUUUCGGCCUUAUCUGGGACAUCCGCCUCCCACUUAAGAUCCGGAUCUUCUUGUGGCAAUGGAUCCGCGGC